UACGGGGGGGGCAAGCGUUGUUCGGAAUUACUGGGCGUAAAGGGCUCGUAGGCGGCCAACUAAGUCAGACGUGAAAUCCCUCGGCUUAACCGGGGAACUGCGUCUGAUACUGGAUGGCUAGAGGUUGGGAGAGGGAUGCAGAAUUCCAGGUGUAGCGGUGAAAUGCGUAGAUAUCUGGAGGAAUACCGGUGGCGAAGGCGGCAUCCUGGACCGGCAUUGACGCUGAGGAGCGAAAGCCAGGGGAGCAAACGGG
rnacentral:rRNA from 1 species